rnacentral:lncRNA from 1 species
AGAAAUCUCCUAUACCCUGCAACUUCUGCUCUAUGUUUCAGCCAUGGCCUCCAGAAAGAGAGCCUUAUCUCUAAGAGAACAUGCCAAAAAAGAAAUAUAAUUCAUGUGCUUUCAAAGGUCGCUAUGCACGGAUCAAUGAAAAAGCAGGAGUUCUUAAUAGGGAUUCGAGAUUGCUUAGAAGAUGAGGAUAUCUCCAAGAUGCUGCCUGCCGAAUGACAGAAAAACAAGAUCAGGAUAACAUCAAAGGAGUGGGAAGAGGGGAUUAUGAAAGGAAAGCAUCUGAUAAAAUUUUCGCAGGUUGAAACGCGACAAAGGCAACUCGCUCUCUCCGUCCGUCACCUUAAAAGAGAUACAUCCAAGGGUUGGUAACAUCUAUUCCUAACACUCUUAUGAGUCUAUGGGAAUCCCAUUUAAGAAACUAAACGAAAGUCAAGUUGUGAGCUUGGAGAGGCCAUUCUCCCUAGAACAAAUGAGGGAGGCAGUUUUCUCACUGUUUAGGGAUUAAGCCUAGGGAGUGAACAAAUACCCUAUGGCCUUCUAUAAAUUCUAUUGGAACACUGUUCAAGCAAACUUGCUCAAAGUCCUUGAAGAAUACUGUUAUAGAGGGAUUAUUAACAAAGCGAUAAACUCCACCUUUAUAGCUUUAAUACCCAUAAAACAGAUAAUUAAGUCACCUAAUGACAUCACUAGCCUACAUGUAGAUACCCCAUCUCUCCAGCUUAGGGAAUUAUAUGUAAUCAGAAA